UUUCCCUCAGAUCUGGAAGCACUUCAAGUCAUCAUCGAAACCAUAGACAGUUGUCAGUUCCUGUUGUUACUCUGGGCUGUGAGUGGGCCACACCCGGGGAACACUCUCCAAGGUCCUUCAGACUGGGCAGCCACUUAGUCCUCAAGGCAUGUGGUGUUAGCACGGAGAUGAGAAAGAGAGAAAGACAACAUCAUGCUUUGCUGUCUGUGUGUGAACUGAGUAACAGCUGUGAAGGAUCAGUCACCAAAAGACUUUGAAAGAAGAGGCUUGAUUGGUCACGGUAAUGAUGCUCCCCUGGCCAUGGAAGUUUAAUUGGGAGAAAAGAACAUCUGCUUAUACGAAAACAUAUUAUAUUCAGCCAUCCCUGCCCUGACUUUGGCCUUUAAAAACAGUGGCAUUAAUUAUCUCAACAAAUGAAU
rnacentral:lncRNA from 10 species